rnacentral:rRNA from 1 species
CCUACGGGAGGCAGCAGUAGGGAAUAUUGCUCAAUGGGGGAAACCCUGAAGCAGCAACGCCGCGUGGAGGAUGAAGGUUUUAGGAUUGUAAACUCCUUUUGUAAGAGAAGAUUAUGACGGUAACUAACGAAUAAGCACCGGCUAACUCCGUGCCAGCAGCCGCGGUAAUACGGAGGGUGCAAGCGUUACUCGGAAUCACUGGGUGUAAAGGGUUCGGAGGUGGGGUAAUAAGACAGAUGUGAAAUCAUGUUGCUUAACAACAGGACUGCAUUUGAAACUGUUACUCUGGAGUGUGGGAGAGGUAGGUGGAAUUCUUGGUGUAGGGGUGAAAUCCGUAGAGAUCAGGAGGAAUACUCAUUGCGAAGGCGGCCUACUGGAACAUUACUGACGCUGAUGCACGAAAGCGUGGGGAGCAAACAGGAUUAGAUACCCCAGUAGUC